rnacentral:lncRNA from 1 species
CCUUGGGUCCCACAGCUGUGGCCUGCAGCUUGGCGUUGAGCAGCUGGUUGUGGGCAGCGUGCAGAGGCAGGGGUAGGCUCAGUGCGGGGCCUCCGUGGCUGUUGGCAUUAAUGGCCGACUGGCUCAGUGAUGAUGGAACAGACAUGGCCUUGGCAGCUCCUGCGCGGUGAGGCCCCGGGCCCAGAUGACGGAGGUGGCUCAGGCUGCGGGGUUCGGGCUCCGCCGCGGCUUC